GUUUGUAGUCAUAUGGCUUUGAAUGUGCUCCAGCUAUCCAAUUUCAGACGCUAAGCAGGGUUAGGCCUGGUUGGUACUCUGAUAGGCAAUCUCUUGGCAAUACUGUAGACUUCAACCA
rnacentral:rRNA from 1 species